UACGUAGGGUGCAAGCGUUAAUCGGAAUUACUGGGCGUAAAGCGUGCGCAGGCGGUUUUGUAAGUCUGUCGUGAAAUCCCCGGGCUCAACCUGGGAAUUGCGAUGGAGACUGCAAGGCUAGAAUCUGGCAGAGGGGGGUAGAAUUCCACGUGUAGCAGUGAAAUGCGUAGAGAUGUGGAGGAACACCGAUGGCGAAGGCAGCCCCCUGGGUCAAGAUUGACGCUCAUGCACGAAAGGCGUGGGGAGCAAACAGGAUUAGAGUAC
rnacentral:rRNA from 1 species